CGCGUAGGUAACCUGCCUGGUAGCGGGGGGUAACUAUUGGAAACGAUAGCUAAUACCGCAUAAUAGUAGAUGUUGCAUGACAUUUACUUAAAAGGUGCAAUUGCAUCACUACCUGAUGGACCUGCGUUGUAUUAGCUAGUUGGUGGGGUAACGGCUCACCAAGGCGACGAUACAUAGCCGACCUGAGAGGGUGAUCGGCCACACUGGGACUGAGACACGGCCCAG
rnacentral:rRNA from 1 species